CUCUAAGCUGACACCAGUAUUUGCAUGCGACAACUGAUGAUGCAGUGUUGUAGUUGGCUUCCAGGAAAGAUCUUACCCCGGGCAGAACAGAGUCAAUCUCCACCAAGGUUGUACUUUCUCAUCAUUAUUUCUCUCCCGUGUGAAGUGUAGGCAGUGGGCACCGAGCUUGGCACCACAGCACAGUGGAGCAGGAAGUAAUGGGGAUUUCCCUGAUAGCCCCAAGGUCACAGUAGUGAGCAUGCAGCAACUUGGGAAAAAGCAGCACAUAGGAGAAUGUCAGAAGGUCCUGUCACCCUGGCUGUCCUGCAGCCUUGUUUGUAAGUGCAUUCUGACGUGGAAGAAUGUGAAAUGUAUUACCACAAGAGCAGGCUGCCUUGUGAGUGCUUCUGCGGAGCAAUGUCUUUUCUGCAGAGCUAGCCAUGGGGACUGAGCUUUAGCUGGGAGCAGCUUGGUCGGCGCCAUUUUCCCUCUGUGGCCUGUGCAGGAAGCUAACACCAGCCAACUUCGCACACUGUGGGACCGUAACAGGCCGCUGCCUGCGCCCGGGAGCGCAGACCCUCCUGCUGCACUCGGCAGAGCAAGUCUGAACUGGGUGCAUGGAGCAGGAAAUGCCAGUUCACAGCCCUCCCACGUGGCUCCAGGCUGCGUGCACAAUGACUUUUCCAGCCCCCCAGACUCUGUACACAUGAAUCCCUUCACCGUCCAGACGCCGUUUUGGGAUUGGCACAGCAUUCUGUGAUCUUGGAAGGCCGCUCAUGUGGUGUGGGAGCCAUCGCACACGCCUCUUGCAUUGGGUGCCUGCUGUGCUCCGCUGCAGGUAUUGACGUGUAGGAGAGCUCUGUCACAACAAACAGCCAAACGCUGCGCUUUUUUUCCAUCCAUGGAAGAUACCGUCAUACUUUCCAAUCAGU
ensembl:lncRNA